GUAGGCUACUCUGGCUACUCUGGCAUGGUAAAGCUGUAGGAGUGAUAAUCAACUCCACUUGAGUUUGUUUUGCUCUGUGAUGUGUGUUGAUCUCCCUGGCAGAUUGUGAAUGGAGCACAGCUUUAAGAGGCUUGCCAAGUGAUCUGGGCAUGACCCCCACGGCUAAUGGUCUUAAGUGAGCAGGCCCUGAAUGAUUUGGAAAUAUUUAGUAGUGUGAAAUCCAAUAGAGGAAAAGAGUCCAGCUGAAGCAUUGAUUCUUUUUCCCCCCGUGCUUCCUCCUGGUAUUGGGUGUGAGACUGAACGAAUAAGGGUGUGCUCCUGUCCGGCUGUCUCAGCGGUCGGGAUUAGUCUGUGUGUGUGUAGCCUACGUGCACACAAACACAGUAGAUUGGAUGUGUUUCCAUCAGAUAAUGGUCUGAGGAGCACUGUGUAAUGGUGGAUUUCUGUAAAGACUCCAGUCUCAGUGCUUAAUCCGGUCAUCAUUAAGACGGGAUAAUGAAAGUGCAGGGCAGGGUGAUCUCUACAAGCCUAAAAUCUCUCACCACACAGCUACCAUCCGCUGCUUAGAGCAGUUGUAACAGCCCCAUACCCCCAUAUUGGCUAAAUAUAACCUUCCUAUAUUCCUUAAACAUGUAGCCAACAUGGCGGACCGUAUUUCCUGGUAAGCUUUGUAAGUCCACAUGAGAUGCCAUAGUGGGGCCAACCCUCCCCAUUCGAGAUCACCCGUAAGGGGCUGUGCUUCCGUCGGCCUUGUUCGGACUUUGCCUUGCAAAGAUAAUGAUACGGUCAUCAUUAUCUGAUAAGUGCCAUACAGUUCCCCUAUGGGCUCACAGGCCCGACCCCUUACUGUAAGUCAAUAAAGGGAUUGAUUUAGUUUCAGCUUUCACAUGGCUGUCUGAUAUUUGCUGGUGGAGUGCAUGAGUGAAACUCAGCUGGUGGCAGUGAUUCACACAGGGCUGUGAGAGGUUUGUGCGGAUCACAAGGAGGUCCUUAUGAGAAGCAGAUAGAUUUGUUUUAAUGUUAGAACUUUCCUGCCCAGGCAUUGACAU